GCUGGUCAUGGUAUGCGUGCCUGCAGUUCCAGCUACUAGGGAUGCUGAGGCAGGAGGAUAACUUGAGCCCAGGAGUUGGAGGCUAUCCUGGGCAACAUAGUAAGACUCCAUUU
rnacentral:sRNA from 1 species